GCUCUUUUAGCUUAAGAAAAGUAUAAUACUGAAAAUAUUAAGAUAUUAUUUAUAAUUUAGAGCA
rnacentral:tRNA from 1 species